UAUAACCCAAUCGAUAUCUCAACUGCUGCACUUGAAACCCUUCUCUCUAGCAACAAUAGAUAAAACUUCAUGAUUGAAAGAAGAACAACAGCUUGAAAUUCCACAAACUUCGUAUUUCAAUCACCAUAGGUUUAUCCAAAAACGAAAAUGGCCAGCAGUAGCAACAGCAAGAAAGAUGUGAUUCGAUUGGGAGGGGCGAUUUGAGCAGUGGUCUCCUCCUAAUACUCAAUGCCCCUUCAUAUUCCUUGAAACCCUAGCACAACAAAAGCAUCUGGAAUGUUAGUAAAUUGAGAAGCAAUCAGAAAACCAUUCGGACUUCUUCGGUGAAAGCUGUAUAUUUCGAUGAUUAUCCGUCACUAGACAAGAAUUCAAGGCAGAGAAUAUGGUCCAUUAGGGAGGAUGUACAAAUCACAUGGGUAUUUGAAAGUUAAUUUUAUAGUUUGUAGGUGAAU
rnacentral:lncRNA from 1 species